AAACAUCUCUGCGCUUCUUAUCUGCAGAUUGCUUCAUGUGAUGUGCAGCUCGGGAAAGAUGGAUUUUUAAGUCUUGUAAAAUCGCAUCCCUCACUGCUAAUGUCUGAUCAACCUCUUGAACUAAGGAGUGGCCCAACUCAUAACGUGGAAUCAUUUGAGGGUCUCUGCCAUACAAAGCUAAAAAGGGAGUCAUGCCAAUAGAGAUGUUGAAAGAUGUAUUGUACCAAUACUCUGCCCAAGUCAAAAAAGUGCUCCAUUUGCG
rnacentral:lncRNA from 1 species